GACGAACGCUGGCGGCGUGCCUAAUACAUGCAAGUAGAACGCACAGUUUAUACCGUAGCUUGCUACACCAUAGACUGUGAGUUGCGAACGGGUGAGUAACGCGUAGGUAACCUGCCUGGUAGCGGGGGAUAACUAUUGGAAACGAUAGCUAAUACCGCAUAAUAUUAAUUAUUGCAUGAUAAUUAAUUGAAAGGUGCAAUUGCACCACUACCAGAUGGACCUGCGUUGUAUUAGCUAGUAGGUGAGGUAACGGCUCACCUAGGCGACGAUACAUAGCCGACCUGAGAGGGUGAUCGGCCACACUGGGACUGAGACACGGCCCAGACUCCUACGGGAGGCAGCAGUAGGGAACCUUCGGCAAUGGACGAAAGUCUGACCGAGCAACGCCGCGUGAGUGAAGAAGGUUUUCGGAUCGUAAAGCUCUGUUGUAAGAGAAGAACGGGUGUGAGAGUGGAAAGUUCACACUGUGACGGUAGCUUACCAGAAAGGGACGGCUAACUACGUG
rnacentral:rRNA from 1 species